rnacentral:rRNA from 1 species
AGUGAACGCUGGCGGUAGGCCUAACACAUGCAAGUCGAACGGCAGCACAGUAAGAGCUUGCUCUUACGGGUGGAGAGUGGCGGACGGGUGAGGAGUAAAACGGAAUCUACUUUUUCGUGGGGGAUAACGUAGGGAAACUUACGCUAAUAAAGCAUACGACGUACGGGUGAAAGCAGGGGAUCGUCGGACAUGGCGCGAUUGAAUGAGCCGAUGUCGGAUUAGCUAGUUGGCGGGGUGAAGGCCCACCAAGGCGACGAUCCGUAGCUGGUCUGAGAGGAUGAUCAGCCACACUGGAACUGAGACACGGUCCAGACUCCUACGGGAGGCAGCAGUGGGGAAUAUUGGACAAUGGGCGCAAGCCUGAUCCAGCCAUACCGCGUGGGUGAAGAAGGCCUUCGGGUUGUAAAGCCCUUUUGUUGGGAAAGAAAAGCAGCAGGUUAAUACCCCGCUGUUCUGACGGUACCCAAAGAAUAAGCACCGGCUAACUUCGUG